rnacentral:lncRNA from 1 species
GGAAAAACCCAAAGAAAGAAACCGGUUCUUAUUUCCGUGUGGCGACGGUGCUGCAGGGAAAGUGGCUCCCUUAGAGGCGCGUUUCCCCGUUCAGCGGCUGGGAGGCGUCACACGGAGCCGGAGGUGUUUGCCUGCAGAAGCGGCGGCGGCGGCGGCGAAAGCGAAGUGAAACUCCUGCCGAGACGGUGUCAAAGGGCUGGGGAGGCCCUUCCCCGCCUCCCGGGCACGGCGAGCGGCCGGCGGGGAGGGCCGGGAUGUGCUCGGGGCGGGCGGAGGGGCGGCGGUGUCAAUCACGGCUCCGGGAGCCGACGGGAAGGGAAGAGCCGAGCGGAGCCGAGCCGAGCCCGGCGUCACGCUGCGGAUGUCCGGCACCGAGAGGGGGAUCGCUCCCUUCCUCCGUCCCGUAUCCAGCGCGGGGCUGCGGGCUGCCACGGCCCGGACGGGGCUCGGCGGCCGCGGGGAGCUGCGCGUCGGGUGCGCUGCAGCGCGAUGGGACCCCCAUCCCCGGGCCAACAACAGUCAGACACGAGCGUCGGAGCGUUUCCUUCACCACAAAAAAUAAAAUCAAAAAGCCGAGCAAACGGAACGCAGCCGGCGUGGCGGAGGGCGAGCCCUUGCGCGGCCCGGACGGCAGGACAGCCCGCUGCGCCGCAGCACCUGCCCGGCCCGGGGCCGCUCCGCCCCGGUUCCCCUCCCGGUCCCGGCCGUGGCUCUACUCACCGCCCGGCAGCGGCCCCUCGGAGAGCCGCGGCGUCCCCCGGGCCGGUCCUCCGCAUCGGCGUGGGGCGAGGUUGCACCGCCCGCCGGGCCCGGCCCGACCCCGCUCCCCGUCCCUGUCCCGGUGCCUCCGGACGGGCGGCCGCAACGAAGUCCCGGGGGAAAUGCCCCGACGGGGCGGGCGGAGCCGUGGGGCGCGCCGGUGGCUACAGCCGAGAUGGGGGUUGCAUAACCCGAGCGAUGUGCGGAGAGUCGGAGUGAGCAAGCGGGUUAUAUAUAGCUGCCCCGUCUGUAGCCUGCGGGGCUUGAUUCUUCUGUUGAAAUAUUAUCUUUGGACGUGGUAAAAAUAUUUGCAGAGAAAAAUCUAGACUACUCGUACAUAUUUGAGCAUAUGUUCCUGCAGCUAAAGGCAUAAGGGCAGAACGUGACACGAUCGGGGUUUACUUCCCCGCCGCUGCCGUCAGCGCUGCUCCCGGCCGGGUGCGUUCCCUCCCGCCGCACCGGCACAGAAAGCGAAGGCGCUGCCGCUGCGGCCCCGCGCUGCUGCCGGGCUGCGGGCGGUGCGGGAACGGGACUCGUUGGGACACCGCGGAGCGAAAUUCUCGCGGUGGAGGGGGAAAGCGGAGAGGCGGGAGGGCUACUGCCAACGGCGCGGGGAGGCCACGGGCUGCCGCGGGCGGGACGUGCCCG